GGAAAUGGCAAGAGGGAAUUGGAUGUCAUAUAAGAGAACAACAAUUGUUAUUUGUUCAAUCAAUAUUUUUGUUGCUCUUUAUGUGCUUCAUUCUCUAUAUACUUCUGUAUAUAUGUACCCAUUCAGUGAUACUCAAAAAGCUUUUAAGUAUACCCCACAGCAGAUUAGGAAAAUGGAAGAGUCAAUUCAAUUGCGGAAACAACUAGAACCUGU
rnacentral:misc_RNA from 1 species